UACGGAGGGUGCAAGCGUUAAUCGGAAUUACUGGGCGUAAAGCGUGCGUAGGCGGUAGGUUAAGUCUGCUGUGAAAUCCCUGGGCUCAACCUGGGAAUGGCGGUGGAUAAUGGCCUGCUGGAGUACGGCAGAGGAAGGUGGAAUUCCCGGUGUAGCGGUGAAAUGCGUAGAGAUCGGGAGGAACAUCAGUGGCGAAGGCGACCUUCUGGGCCAGUACAGACGCUGAGGCACGAAAGCGUGGGGAGUAAACAGG
rnacentral:rRNA from 1 species